CCUACGGGAGGCAGCAGUGAGGAAUAUUGGUCAAUGGCCGGAAGGCUGAACCAGCCAUGCCGCGUGAAGGUCAGUGCCCUAUGGGCGUUAAACUUCUUUUGUGCGGGAGCAAUAAUGGUCACGUGUGGCCAGACGAGAGUGCCGUACGAAUAUGCAUCUGCUAACUCCGUGCCAGCAGCCGCGGUAAUACGGGGGAUGCAAGCGUUAUCCGGAUUUAUUGGGUUUAAAGGGGGCGUAGGGUGUGAGGUAAGUCAGCGGGGAAAUGCCCCCGCUCAAAGGGGUGAAGUGCCAUUGAUACUGGCUUGCUGGAAUGCGGAUGCCGUGGGAGGAAUGUGUGGUGUAGCGGUGAAAUGCAUAGAUAUCACACAGAACACCGAUUGCGAAGGCAGCUCACGAAGCCGCGAUUGACGCUGAUGCACGAAAGCGUGGGUAUCAAACAGGAUUAGAUACCCGUGUAGUC
rnacentral:rRNA from 1 species